rnacentral:lncRNA from 1 species
UUCCUUUUAUGAAUGUUAAGGACCAUCCCUCCAUGUGGGUUGUGAAACAACAAGAUGACACCAUGCUUGCAUUAUAAUACCAUUGUGUUUGGCAUUAUAUUGGCUGAGGUGAAAGUGGAACUAGCUUAUAACCAGAUUGCAAAACUCUUGCCUUGCUCCUUCUCAGGCGCUGUGACACACUUCCAAAAAUCCCAUUUCUGGCUCCACUGGCAAAAGCAAUGUAUUCAGAGCCAAGACACCAGGCUUGUCCCUGACCUGUCCCUGGAAAUCACCUGAAUCAUGUCAGUGUUUUUGUCUCUGUCUCUUCAUCUGAACAUGGAAAUAAUGUGUCCACAUAGGAAUGUCAUGAAUCUGAAGUCUAUAUCCCUUGCCAUCUAGAAAAACUAUCUUGUGUAUCAUGAAGCUUUAAUACCUCCUUUUUAUUGAUUUUAUCCUGACCAUGCCUUGUAUUUCUUAAUUUGCCUUUUUUUUUUUUGCUUAUUUGUUUCUCUAGUUGCAUAUCUUUUGAAGCAAGAGAGUAAAUUAUCUUUAUCCUGCAUGAGUAAAUGAUCUUUAUCCUGCACCAAUUUAAAGAUGUUGGACGUUUAUUUACUUCAAAGUAGCUCCACAGUUCUUGCUCCCAAUACUCACGGGCUUGUCCAUGAGGACUUAUAAUAGCACAAAUGUGACAAAUACUGGGUAA